rnacentral:rRNA from 1 species
CCUACGGGUGGCAGCAGUGGGGAAUAUUGCGCAAUGGGCGAAAGCCUGACGCAGCGACGCCGCGUGAGGGAUGAAGGUCUUCGGAUCGUAAACCUCUGUCAGCAGGGAAGAACGGUCACUGUGCUAAUCAGCAGUGAAUUGACGGUACCUGUAAAGGAAGCACCGGCUAACUCCGUGCCAGCAGCCGCGGUAAUACGGAGGGUGCGAGCGUUAAUCGGAAUUACUGGGCGUAAAGCGCACGUAGGCGGUAUGUCAAGUCAAGGGUGAAAUCCCCGCGCUCAACGUGGGAACUGCCUUUGAAACUGGCAGACUGGAGUGUGUGAGAGGAUAGUGGAAUUCCCGGUGUAGGAGUGAAAUCCGUAGAUAUCUGGAGGAACAUCAGUGGCGAAGGCGACUAUCUGGCACAUAACUGACGCUGAGGAGCGAAAGCGUGGGUAGCAAACAGGAUUAGAUACCCGAGUAGUC